rnacentral:rRNA from 1 species
UACGUAGGGUGCAAGCGUUGUCCGGAAUUAUUGGGCGUAAAGAGCUCGUAGGCGGUUUGUCGCGUCUGCUGUGAAAACUCGGGGCUUAACUCCGGGCCUGCAGUGGGUACGGGCAGACUAGAGUGCGGUAGGGGAGACUGGAAUUCCUGGUGUAGCGGUGAAAUGCGCAGAUAUCAGGAGGAACACCGGUGGCGAAGGCGGGUCUCUGGGCCGUAACUGACGCUGAUGCGCGAAAGCGUGGGGAGCAAACAGG